AUCCAGACUCCUACGGGAGGCAGCAGUGGGGGAUAUUGCACAAUGGGGGGAACCCUGAUGCAGCGACGCCGCGUGGGUGAAGAAGUAUUUCGGUAUGUAAAGCCCUAUCGGCAGGGAAGAAAUUGGACGGUACCUGACUAAGAAGCCCUGGCUAACUACGUGCCAGCAGCCGCGGUAAUACGUAGGGGGCAAGCGUUAUCCGGAUUCACUGGGUGUAAAGGGAGCGUAGACGGCGACGCAAGUCUGGAGUGAAAGCCCGGGGCCCAACCCCGGGACUGCUCUGGAAACUGCGUCGCUGGAGUACGGGAGGGGCAGGCGGAAUUCCUGGUGUAGCGGUGAAAUGCGUAGAUAUCAGGAGGAACACCGGCGGCGAAGGCGGCCUGCUGGACCGUGACUGACGUUGAGGCUCGAGAGCGUGGAGAGCAAACAGGAUUAGAUACCCCGGUA
rnacentral:rRNA from 1 species